rnacentral:tRNA from 1 species
GCCUGGGUGGCUCAGUCGGUUAGGCGUCCGACUUGGGCUCAGGUCACGAUCUCGCAAUUCGUGGGUUCAAGCCCCACAUCGGGCU